GUGUGUGUAUAUAAUGCAGUGUGUUUGUGUAGUGUGCAUUAUAUAAACACACUACACAAACACACUGCAUUAUAUACGCAGUGU